UACGUAGGGUGCAAGCGUUGUCCGGAAUUAUUGGGCGUAAAGAGCUCGUAGGCGGUCUGUCGCGUCGGCUGUGAAAACCCGAGGCUCAACCUCGGGCCUGCAGUCGAUACGGGCAAACUAGAGUACUGCAGGGGAGACUGGAAUUCCUGGUGUAGCGGUGAAAUGCGCAGAUAUCAGGAGGAACACCGAUGGCGAAGGCAGGUCUCUGGGCCGAUACUGACGCUGAGGAGCGAAAGCGUGGGGGAGCGAACAGG
rnacentral:rRNA from 1 species